UGACCUUCAAUAUUAAUUUAAUACCCAUCCUACCACAUAUGACACAAAUGUAAUAUCUGCUCUUUAUGCUAAUAUAAUGUCGAUAACAUAGUGUCUAAAAAGCUCACAAAAUAGCAGCCCUGUGGUCUUUAAUAGCAAUAUAAUAUCUAUUCUACAGCACCAUAAACUAAUAUAGUACUUCCCUGUGGUCAUUAAUAAUGAGAUAAUAUCCAUCAUCCUACUGCAUAUAAUAUCUGCUCUUUGACCUUUAUACUAACAUAAUGUCCAUAAUAUAGUAUCUAAAUCUCACAAAAUAGCAGCCCUGUGGCCUUUAUCAUGUUAUUAUGAUAUCCAUAGAGUAACAUCUGAAACUAAUGUAAUAGCUGCCCUGUUGCCUUAAUAUCCACUUAAUAGUAUCUAUCAAUCAUUUUAGAGUAAUAGAAUAACUAUAUUGUGUCAUCUUAGGGUAAUAGAAUAUCUGCACUGUGGCCUUUAAUACUAUCAUGAUAUCGAUGUUCCAGUAUCUAAAAAUAAUAAAAUAGCUGCCUGUGGCCUUUCACAUUAUUAUAAUAUCUAUAGCAGAGCAUCCAAAACUAACAUAAAAGUUGUUCUGUAGCCUUUUGCAUUCAAAUAUAUCCAUACUGUAGCAUCUCAAGCUAAUAAAAUAACUGCAUUGGGCUUUUAAUAAUAAUGAGAAAUCCAUAGUAUAUCAUCCUAAACUAAUAUAGAUAAUAAUAAUAGAUACCCCAUGGUUUUUAAUAUUAUUGUGAUAUCCAUACUUUAGCAUCUGGAAACAAUGAAAGUGUGUCCUGUGGUCUUUGAACUAAUGUGGUUUUAAGCUAAUGUAAUAUAUGUUCUUCAAUACCAUUAUGUUAUUCAUACUGUACCAUCUAAAUUUAAUAUAAAGCUGACCUAUGUCCUUUUAUACUAAUACUAUAUCCACAGUAUAUUAUCUGAAACUAACAUAAUACUGCCCCAUGAUCUUUAAAAGUUAUGUGAUGUACAUACUAUAGCAUCUAAAAAUAAUGUAAUAUCUAGGGGCUAGAGUUGUGGCUCAGAGGUAGAGCACUCACCUACCAUGCGUGAGGCACUGGGUUCGAUCCUCAGCACCACAUAGAAAUAAAAUAAAGAUAUUAUGUCCACCUAUAACUAAAAAAAUAAAUAUUUUAAAAAAGUAAUGUAAUAUCUAAUAUAUAAUAGCUGCCCCUAAGUGGACUUUAUUAUUAAUGUAAAAUUUAUGCUAUAACAUCUUAAUCUAAUGAAUGGCUGCCCUGUGGCCUUUAAUUCUAAGGUAAUAUCCAUAUCAUAGCACAUAAAACUAAUAUAAUAGCUUCCUUUUGGCCUUUGAUAUUAAUAUAACAUCCAUACUGUGGUCUCUGAUACUCAUACAAUAACUGACCUUGGCAUUCAAUACUGUUUAUUGUGUGACUUCUAAAGCAAAUAUAAUAGCUGUUCUGUGGCCUUCAAUAUUAAUAUACUUUCCAUAGUAUAGCAUCUAAAACUAAAUAAGUUCUUCUUGUACCCUUUAAUUCUUAUGUGAUAUACAUACAGAAACAUUUAAAACUGAUAUAAUAGUUGCCCUGUGGCCUUUAAUACUGAUAUGAUAUACAUAUUAGAACAUCUAAAUCUGUUGUAAUAGCUAUGCUGUGGCCUUUAGUAUUAAUAUAAUAUCCAUAAUAUGGUAUAAAAGACUGAUAAAACGAUGGCCAUAAUUGACUAUGUAAAAUUGAUAUAUCUACCUUGUGCCUAUUAUGCUAAUAUGGUACACAUAUUAUAGUACCUAAAAUCAAUAUAAUAGCUGCCCAGUGACUUUUAACAGUGAUGUAAUAUCCAUACUGUAGCCUCUUAUAUAAUAGCUGCCCUGUGGCAUUUCAUGCUAAUAUGAAGUCCAUAAUAUAGCAUCUAAAACUAAGCUGCAUCUUGGUUUUAUACUGAUAAUAUACAUACUAUAGCAUCUAAAAGCUGAUAUAAUAGCUGCUCUAUGGCAUUUAAAUCUAUGCUGCAUUCAUCCUGAUAGCUGACAUGUGCUCUUUAAUAUCAAUGUGAUAUCCACAUGUAGACUCUAAAACUGAUAUAAUAGUUGCCUAGUAGCCUUUAAUAUUGAUGAAAUAUCUAUACUUUAGAAUUUUAUACUAAUAUGUUAGCUGCUAGUGGCCUUUUAUACCAAUAUUAUAUCCAUAAUAUAGCAUCUAAAUCUAACAUAAUAACUGCUAUGUCACUUUAAAACUCUUACAAUUUUCAUAAUAUAGCAUCUAAAAUUAGUAUAAUAACUGUUGUGUGAAUUUUAUAUUAAUAUGAUAUGCGAUAGAUAUGAAAGCAGAGCAGAAAUAUUUGAAUGCCUUGCACUUUGGCCAGAAGAGUGCAAGUAAAACUGGGACUAUGGGGCUGGGGUUGUGGCUCAAUGGUAGAAUGCUUGUCUCACAUGUGUGAGGCACUGGGUUUAAGUGUAAAUAAAUGAAUUAAGUAAAGGUCCAUCAACAACUAAAAAUACAUAUACAUAAAAAGCUGGCUAUGGAAGUCGUGGUUGCUAAAGACACUAAAACCUCUAAAGAGACGCUAAAUGCUUUACCCAGAGACAAUAGGAAAGAUGACUUGAGGGCAUCUCAGGAGUUGGCAAGACCUACCCCACCUCAGGCCCAAGGUCAUAGAAUUAAAAAUUCUUUGAGAAGAGACCAUUUGUGUACCCUGCUUGUACAAGGGGGCCUAGGAAACUGUUUCACCCUGCUCAGCCGCCCAGAUACUCAGAGGAUACUUCAGCCUGGAUCCCACGAGUCUUGGCUACUGCUCACAAUGCUGCCUGACCUUGACAUCGACCAUGUGGUGAUGACCCCGGGUCUCGGGGGGUGGUCUGCGGGACUCCCUUUUCUGCAAGAUUGCAGAAUUCCAGAGUUAGGGGGUCAUGGAAGCUUCCAUUGAAAUUUCAGUGGAAAGCCUGGGAGGCCAGGCAAAGUGUAGCAGGGUGGAGUCCUGCAUGCGGCCAUGAGAGAGUGAUGCAUGAAGAAGUGAGAAGGAAGCUGCAGCUGUAGUCGAGACCCCUGAGACUAAGAGAAGCAGCAGAGGAUUCACCAGGAGCUGGCCUCAGCACCACCCAGGAGCAGCCACCCUGCGGGGGAGUGGCGGUGGGGUGUGGCCUCGGCACCGUCUUUGGUGCCUGUCCUGCCCCCUCCACAUGAGGACCCCAGCUUUCUGCUCAGUAGAGCUGAGGCACCUCACAGGGACUGGCAGAGCUUCCUCUUCCUCAGAGCAGCCUGAGGGGACGCCUGACCUGGGGACCUCGUGGGUUGUGUCUAUGGGACGCUGCAGCUCCCUUCUCCUCAGAGCAGCCUGUGGGAGACGCCCAGCCUGGGGACCUAUGGGUCUGUCUCUAGGGACACCCAGAGCUCCUUCUUCCUCAGAGCAGCCUGAGGGGACGCCCAGGCUUGGGGACCUCGAGGGUUGUGUCUACAGGAUGCUGCAGCUCCCUUCUCCUCAGAGCAGCCUGAGGGGACGCCCAGGCUUGGGGACCCUCGUGGGUUGUGUCUGUAGGACGCCAGAGCUCCCUUCUCUUCAUAGCCUUGUGAGGGAGGUGCCUGGCUUAGGGACCUCGAGGGUUGUGUCUACAGGAUGCUGCAGCUCCCUUCUCCUCAGAGCAGCCUGAGGGAGAUACCUGGGACCUGUCUAUAGGGACACCCAGAACUCCCUUCUCAGUUCAGCCUCAGGGAGAUGCCUCGGGAGCUUCUGGACUAACAGGCACUACAUAAUGAGUACCUGCCACUUCCUCAGCUGUUACUAUUUGGAUGUGAGGCAUCCCCCAAGAGCUUACAUGUGAGACAGUGCAGGAAGGUUUGGAGGAGAAAAGAUUGGGUUAAAGAGCCUUGACCUCAUCAGGGAAUCGAUUCCUGAUGGGAUUACCCGAGUGGCGGCUGGUCAGGUGGAGUGUGCCUGGAGGAAGUGGUUCAUGGCGGGGUGUGGCUGUGGGUUUAUAUUUUGUAUCUGGAGAGUGGGUUCUCUCUGUCUCUGGAUUUCUGAACAUGAUGUGAGCUGGUCUUUCUGCCACACUCUUCCACCAUGACGUUCUACUUCCCCUUGAGUCCUGAGGAAUGGAGCCGGCCUUCUGUGGACUAAGACUUCUGAGACCGUAAGCCCUGAAAUAAACUUUCCCUCCUCUACAUUUGUUCUGGUUCAGUCAUAGCAGCAAAAAUGUGGACUAAAACAUCCGCACUUUAAGGCAGCUGGUCCACAGCAGGUGGUGGUGGUGAAUGGCCCCUGGAUUCAGGGUGGCUCCUGGUGCUUAGUGCCACGGCAGGUGGUGGUUUAGGCAGGCUGUCUACCUCUGCUGAACUUCAGCCUCGGCCUCCUCUGGGUGGGAUGUGGGGAUGGAAGGCCGGAGAUUUAGCGGUUCUGAGCUAGUGGCCACUAAGGUUGCUGCUCCUCACUACCUGUGGUCCCUAUGACCCUCCUCCAGACCUGGCCUCCCAUCCUGACCCCACCCUUCUCACCCCACCCAUCCUCCUGCCCCUGCCCUAGUCCAGGCUCUGCUCCUGAUGGGCUAGAUUGAGCAGCUGCCCUGGUUUGUGUCUCAGUGCACUAGUUGGCAGUAUGGUUUUUUUUAAUAUUUAUUUUUUAGUUUUAGGUGGGCACAUAUCUUUAUUUUAUUUUUAUGUGGUGCUGAGGAUUGAACCCAGUGCCUCAUGCCUGCCAGCCGAGGGCUCCACCACUUGAGCCACAUCCCCAGCCCCAGGCAGUAUGUUUUUCAUGGUGCGCAGAAUGGUGUCUGUUGUAUAAACAUUCACAUCCUACAUUGAAUGAGAUAUCUUGACUAUAUCAGGGUUUGAUAUACCAUAAAAUGAAUUCAGUAAAGUCAUCAUCUUUCUUCUCUAGAUGAUGGACAUUUGAAAUAAAAUCAGAAUUUGUUAAAGGUCAGGUAAUACUCUGCUGUGAGCCCCCUGAUCCUGGGGUUUUCCAGUGGGAGAUCUCCAGCUUUCCUAUGCUAUUUGAUCAAUUUAGAGUUUCUUUAUCUUAAAGUCAUGUUGCACUGUCUGUAUUUACGAGGAAAUCCCCCAUGUCCUCCAGGUUUCCAGUUAUGUGCUGUAGCUUUAUCCUAUUCAACUUUUAAUUUCUCCUCUGUCCAGUUUUCUACAAAAUUCUUAAUCCUGUGAACUCUGCUAGUUUUCAUCAGCAAUGUUUUAAUAAUAUUAAA
rnacentral:lncRNA from 1 species